GGACUGGUAGCUCAGUUGGUUAGAGCGUUGCCAUGUGUGCUAAAGGUCUCGCGUUCGAUUCCCGGCCAGUGCA
rfam:Plicaturopsis crispa FD-325 SS-3 unplaced genomic scaffold PLICRscaffold_20, whole genome shotgun sequence.